GCUUCUUUUGGACCUAAUGCACACAAACAGAUGCAUAGGGUGAGUGUUUGGACCAAUUCACAUCCAAAUGUACAUAAAAUCAGCCUUAAAAAUCCCAUUUAGAUGUGUGUAUUUUACACACAUCAAAUCACCCCACACUUAGUUCAUUGCUUGUCCUCAAGCAAUUAACAACUCUCCUUACAAAACUGCAGUCAGCAAUUC
rnacentral:lncRNA from 1 species